rnacentral:sRNA from 1 species
UACAUAUAAGCUUUGCUCACUCAAGGGAAGUCUUGCUCACCCUCAUUGGAAGGGGGUGAUGCAUAUGACAACAUUUGAAACAAUCUCAUUAAUGAUUGCUUUUGGCAUGUUAAUUGCCGUGUUGUCAAAGAAAGAAAAAUAGACCUCCCUUGAGCCUCUAAACUUAAAGGGAUAGGUCUAUCAUCAAGAUCCUAUGAGCAAGCCCCUUGGUGGGCUGCUUUUUGUACAACGACUCGACUGUUAGCCGCAGUCGGGU